rnacentral:lncRNA from 1 species
GUGGGAUUACCUGUUCUUUUAGCUGAAAUGCGUUGAAAGCACCUACCUCCACCUGAGGCAGCCCUGGAGGUCCCUGUCUGCCACAACCCCCGAUGCCUGGCUUCCCUCUCUGCGCCUGUUCCUGGAGCCAGUUCUUUCCUCCGGCUCCCCAGGGAGAGUUAGCAGGGGGCUCAGGCCCCUCAUCUGAUUCCGGUUUUCUGGCUGGCCUCACUCCCAGGGCCCCUUGCCCACUUUGAGGCUUCUCACCUCCAGUUCCACCUGCCUAGGCUUCUCACCUCCAAAUCUAUCCACCAAGGCUUCUCACCUCCAAUUCCACCCACAGAGGCUUCUCACCUCCAGUUCCACCCACCGAGGCUUCUCACCUCCAGUUCCACCCACUGAGGCUUCUCACCUCCAAUUCCACCCACCGAGGCUUCUCACCUCCAGUUCCACCCACCGAGGCUUCUCACCUCCAGUUCCACUCACCGAGGCUUCUCACCUCCAGUUCCACCUGGUGAGGCCUCUCACCCCCACUUCCAUUCAUGGAGGCUUCUCACCUCCAGUUCCACCUGCCAAGACUUCUCACCUCCAAUUCUAUCCACCAACGCUUCUCACCUCCAGUUCCACCUACCGAGGCUUCUCACCUCCAAUUCCACCCACCGAGGCUUCUCACCUCCAGUUCCACCCACCGAGGCUUCUCACCUCCAGUUCCACCCACCGAGGCUUCUCACCUCCAGUUCCACCCACCGAGGCUUCUCACCUCCAGUUCCACCCGCCGAGGCUUCUCACCUCCAGUUCCACCUGCUGAGGCCUCUCACCCCCACUUCCAUUCAUGGAGGCUUCUCAUCUCCAUUUCCACCUGCCAAGAUUUCUCACCUGCUAGAACCAACAAUGACUCUCUGAGGCCUCUAGAGCUGCCUUCACAUUUCAGGAGAAAAAUGACUGCUUACAACUUUUAAGAGAAAUAGAAAUUAAUCAAGCCACCGACUCAGGAGAAAGGCUUGGUCACUCAUCUAUUUUGGUCUGCUGAGCUGGAACUCAGGGCCCUUUCCAUUGUGGACAUUCAUGCCCUGUAGUUUGAGAAAAUGUUCGUGAACGAUUUCGUUGUUUAUUUCCUCUCUUGUUUUCUCCUCUUUCUGGAAUGCCCUUUUUUAAAAAAGUUGGGCCUCCUGGUGGGACCUUCCAUUUCUUGUCUUUUUCCAUCUAUGCCUUCACUUUACCUUUUUGCUCUACUUCCUAGAAUUCUUCAACUCAGUGUUCUAGUCCUUCUGCUGACUGUUUCAUUUCUGCUCUCAAGUUUUUAACUCUCAAGAACUGUUUUCUAUUUUCUGAAUGUUCCUUUUCUAUACCAUCUGUUUCUUGUUUCGUGGGUGGAAUUAGCAUUCCUUUCAGAACCCAGUAAGAAUGAUUCCCCGUGUCCCC